AUGCAAGUCGAACGCGUCUCCGUUGAUGAUUUUAGGUGCUUGCACUUGAAAGAUUUAACAUUGAGACGAGUGGCGAACUGGUGAGUAACACGUGGGUAACCUGCCCUUGAAGUAGGGGAUAACACUUGGAAACAGGUGCUAAUACCGUAUAACAACCAAAACCACCUGGUUUUGGUUUAAAAGACGGCUUCGGCUGUCACUUUAGGAUGGACCCGCGGCGUAUUAGCUUGUUGGUAAGGUAACGGCCUACCAAGGCGAUGAUACGUAGCCGACCUGAGAGGGUAAUCGGCCACAUUGGGACUGAGACACGGCCCAAACUCCUACGGGAGGCAGCAGUAGGGAAUCUUCCACAAUGGACGAAAGUCUGAUGGAGCAACGCCGCGUGAGUGAUGAAGGGUUUCGGCUCGUAAAACUCUGUUGUUGGAGAAGAACAGGUGUCAGAGUAACUGUUGACAUCUUGACGGUAUCCAACCAGAAAGCCACGGCUAACUACGUGCCAGCAGCCGCGGUAAUACGUAGGUGGCAAGCGUUGUCCGGAUUUAUUGGGCGUAAAGCGAGCGCAGGCGGUUUUUUAGGUCUGAUGUGAAAGCCUUCGGCUUAACCGGAGAAGUGCAUCGGAAACCGGGAGACUUGAGUGCAGAAGAGGACAGUGGAACUCCAUGUGUAGCGGUGAAAUGCGUAGAUAUAUGGAAGAACACCAGUGGCGAAGGCGGCUGUCUGGUCUGUAACUGACGCUGAGGCUCGAAAGCAUGGGUAGCGAACAGGAUUAGAUACCCUGGUAGUCCAUGCCGUAAACGAUGAGUGCUAAGUGUUGGAGGGUUUCCGCCCUUCAGUGCUGCAGCUAACGCAUUAAGCACUCCGCCUGGGGAGUACGACCGCAAGGUUGAAACUCAAAGGAAUUGACGGGGGCCCGCACAAGCGGUGGAGCAUGUGGUUUAAUUCGAUGCUACGCGAAGAACCUUACCAGGUCUUGACAUCUUCUGCCAACCUAAGAGAUUAGGCGUUCCCUUCGGGGACAGAAUGACAGGUGGUGCAUGGUUGUCCUCAGCUCGUGUCGGGAAAUGUUGGGUUAAGUCCCGCAACGAGCCCAACCCUUAUUGUUAGUUGCCAGCAUUCAGUUGGGC
rnacentral:rRNA from 2 species